rnacentral:rRNA from 1 species
UACGUAGGGACCGAGCGUUGUCCGGAAUCAUUGGGCGUAAAGAGCGUGUAGGCGGCUAUUUAAGUCCUGCGUGAAAUCCUGCGGCUCAACCGCAGACGGUCGUGGGAAACUGGAUGGCUAGAGUGCGGGAGAGGAGAGUGGAAUUCCCGGUGUAGCGGUGAAAUGCGCAGAUAUCGGGAGGAACACCCGUGGCGAAGGCGGGUCUCUGGACAGUUCCUGACGCUGAGGCGCGAAGGCCAGGGAGCAAACGGG